rnacentral:tRNA from 1 species
GGAGGGGUGUCCGAGUGGUUUAAGGAGACGGUCUUGAAAACCGUUCUCGUCUAUGGCGAGCGUGGGUUCGAAUCCCACCCCCUCCGCCA